rnacentral:piRNA from 1 species
UAGAAUAAUAACAAUAUAUAU